CGGCGUGCUUAACACAUGCAAGUCGAACGAUGAACCAGGGGCUUGCCCUUGGGGAUUAGUGGCGAACGGGUGAGUAACACGUGAGCAACCUGCCCCUCACUCUGGGAUAAGCGCUGGAAACGGCGUCUAAUACUGGAUACGAGGCACAACCGCAUGGUUAGUGUCUGGAAAGAUUUUUUGGUGGGGGAUGGGCUCGCGGCCUAUCAGCUUGUUGGUGAGGUAAUGGCUCACCAAGGCGUCGACGGGUAGCCGGCCUGAGAGGGUGACCGGCCACACUGGGACUGAGACACGGCCCAGACUCCUACGGGAGGCAGCAGUGGGGAAUAUUGCACAAUGGGCGGAAGCCUGAUGCAGCAACGCCGCGUGAGGGAUGACGGCCUUCGGGUUGUAAACCUCUUUUAGCAGGGAAGAAGCGAGAGUGACGGUACCUGCAGAAAAAGCACCGGCUAACUACGUGCCAGCAGCCGCGGUAAUACGUAGGGUGCAAGCGUUAUCCGGAAUUAUUGGGCGUAAAGAGCUCGUAGGCGGUUUGUCGCGUCUGCUGUGAAAUCCCGAGGCUCAACCUCGGGCCUGCAGUGGGUACGGGCAGACUAGAGUGCGGUAGGGGAGAUUGGAAUUCCUGGUGUAGCGGUGGAAUGCGCAGAUAUCAGGAGGAACACCGAUGGCGAAGGCAGAUCUCUGGGCCGUAACUGACGCUGAGGAGCGAAAGGGUGGGGAGCAAACAGGCUUAGAUACCCUGGUAGUCCACCCCGUAAACGUUGGGAACUAGU
rnacentral:rRNA from 1 species